GAGUGAGACCUUCCCUAUAUUCUUACACAUCACUGCUACUUAGAUUUCACCACAUUGAGGAAUGAGGUUUCUUUUGGAGACUUCGAGACUAGAUAAUGAGGCACUCGGCGAGCCCGCUCCGGGAAUUAACUGCGUACCGGGAGAUGUGAGACGCGUGAAACAAGAAGAUUACACCCUCCUGCCCUCAAGAAAACAACGUGAGUGCGAUUACAAAGUCAUCUAUCAAUAGAUAAUAGAGGACCACGCACGAGGCUUCCCAGAGGCCUGAUGCAAUCGUGGUGGCGACCCGGGUUUCUACAUAAGGAGAUGAACUCCGCAGCUUGACGCGUUUUCCAGGAUAAUUAUCGGCUGUAUCUGCUGCACCUGAAGAUCUGUUUCUUCCACCAGCCCUGGCCUUGCUGAACAGUUAUUGCAAUUCCUUCCUUUGCACACGGUAGCUCCCACAGGCCCUUAGCUGUCCACAGAGGGACACACCGAGCCGGCCAGAAACUUCCAAGCACCUUCCAACUCCACACGCUGGAUUUUCUGAAAUCUGAUUCCGCGUCCCUGAUAUAAAGUUAUCUUGCUGGCUGGCUGUGCCGAGCUCACUCCGUGCACCCAGACAGGUGGAUCCGUCCCCACCCUCGGAGAGGGGAGUUUUGCCUUUUCAAGUCACCGUGGCCCUUCGCAAGCCGCGACAGGCCGCGGGAAGCCGAGGGGAAGAGCAGCGAUCCCAGCCAGAUCUAGAAGCCUUCUGCACGCUGAGAAAGGAGGCCCCACAGUCCUGUGUCCGCCAGACAGAACCCAGAGGGGGCCGCCCCCGUUUCAGGCCGCGUGGAAUGUUCUGGAACAAUCCGUAGGGCAACUGCAGACCCAGGGAGACAGCCUGAGAGCUGAGUCUGAACCUAGACUCUUUAGAUGCUGGGUGGUCUCUGCCAAGACACUUCACCUCUCUGGGGUGAAACCUCCAGCUUUUGGAGUAGCUGUAAAAAUCCAUUCAUGUAAGAGAGUAGUUCUCAACCGGGAGCCAUUGUGUCCCCCACGGGGUGGCAUUUGGCAAUGUUUGGGGACAUAUUUGCUUGUCACAACAAGUGCCAUCCUUAUGACUUUCCAUGAGGCAUUUGGUGUUACAGAAAAGUCCUUUGGGUCCCUAACAAUCGAUCAAGACUCGGGCA